AUCAUUUUUCUCUUCUCCUUCACCGAAAUAUGCAGCAAAGAAAGGGAUUUGAAGCUGGAAAAUUUCAGCAACAUAUUUCCCUUGCUUAUGAUGAAAAUCGAGAUUUGGACCUAGAACGGAAAGAAAUCGAUUAAGGGAUAAUUACAACUUUUUUUUCACCUUUGUGGUAUCGAGGUAAGUUCAUGUGUAAAUAAUGUAGCAUAAUUGUUAUUUUUAAGUUAUUGAUGUUAAAUAUAUGAUAUGCUGAUUUCUAUUAUGAAAUAUAUGCUUUGUGGUUAUUUUCGAAUAAAAUGCAA